rnacentral:lncRNA from 1 species
ACCGUACGUCACUUUCAUUAUCACUAAAUCGUUCUUUUGUGAACACUAGAUGUUGUGCCCCCAAUCAUAACUAGUAGUCAUUUUCAUUUCAGGGUCAUGAAAUUGAACAAGAAUAACGUAAAGAAAGAGCAUGCCAUAUACAUAAAAUCUUUUAUGAUGAUGUGACAACAUUUUCCCACCAUUUACCAUUUUACAACUCCAUGCAUUGGCAUCAUAUAGUUACCAUUUUCUCACAGGAUUUUGUAUAGUUGAAUGUCCUAGACUCCUAGGCCUUGUAUAGUCACCCAUCUACUUAGAGAAGCCAAAACUUGGAAGAAGAUUAGAACAACUUAUAGUUGGCAUUUUGUUGCAUGGACCACAGCAACUAGCUUUCUCCAAAGCAAUGGAUAAGGUAUGACUUCCAAGGCCAUAUGCAUCCUAUGCUUGCCUCUAUCAAUAAGUGAUUCCUAUCACGAAUCCUCCUAUUAGUCCUUUCUUUAUGUAGAAGUAUUAUUGGAUGGUUUUGAACAAUUAUAAAGGCUAAAACUACGGUAGAAGUAUUGGUAGUUGGUUCUGAACAUGUUUAAAGGCUAAAAGUAGAAUACCAAGUGAACUGGUCAGAGAUUAAUGACUUUGAUAUCAACAGAGCUUGGAAGUUCUCUCAAAGUGGUUCUCUCUUUAGGCAUGACGGAGGUCAGUGAUAAAGGGUUAGAAUCUUACAAAUGACUAAUAAUACUUAAAAUUAGUGAGAAAUUUGACAAAGUAACCGUAAAUGUCUUAAAUGUG